AGUUUCAGCAUCAGAAUGUUGCUCUUUUAAAACUUCUGAAAGCAUGCUCCACACCUUGUCCCUCUCAGAUUUUAAAAGGCACUUCAGAUUCUUAAACCUUGGCUCGAGUGCUGUAGGUAUCUUUAGAUAUUUCACAUUGGUACCUUUGUGUUUUGUCAACUCUGCAGUGAAAAGAAAAGGAGUACUUGUGGCACCUUA